rnacentral:lncRNA from 1 species
GAGAUCCUCCUGCCUCAGCCUCCCGAGUGCUGGGAUUACAGGUGUGUGCCACCAAUGCUCGGCUCGGCCUGUUUUCUUGUUUUUUAAAGAAGGAAAUAUCUAAAUUAAAAGAAUGACCUUUCCAAAACUGGGCAAGGUGGCGCACAACUGCUAUCUCAAUAAUGGGGAGGCUGAGGCGGGAGGAUCACUGUGUUUGAGGCCAGCCUAAAUUGCAGAGUGAGUCCAAGGUCAGUUUGAACAACAUAGUGAGACCUUGUCUCUUUUUUCUCUCUCUUUUUUUUUUUUUUUGGUUUUGGAUUUUUGAGACAGCAUCUUGCCAUGUAGUUCAGACUGGCUUUGAACUCACACGCAAUGUAGCCCAGGGUGGCUCCAACUCUCUGAAGAUCCUCCUGCCGCCACAGCCUCCGGAGUGCAGGGAUUACACACACACUUGCCAUUGUGCCCAGUUGAGACACGGUCUCAAAAAAAAGAAAGAGAAAGGUUGGUAUAAUCACCCCGGUUUGAGAGAUGAAGUAAGGCUCAGAGGGCUCAGUGGUCACAGCUACUGAGAGGUGGCGCUGGCAGAGAACUGGAGAGAGAAGAAGACAUCAAGACGGGUCACGUACGGUCACCAGAGUUUCAAGAAACAGAAGAAUGAAUACCAGUGGGCAGGGGAUCUGAGGACUACUGGGGGAGAGUCUGCAAGAAAACUGACACAUCCUCCAAAAAUACAUCGUAAAACACAGUUGGGCUGGGGACAUGGCUCAGGGGCACAGUGCCUGCCUGGUAAGCCCAAGGCACUGAGUUCAAACCCCAAAGUUGGGCAUGGUGGCACACACCUAUAAUCCCAGUGUGCAGAAGGCUGAGGCAGGAGGAUCACUAAAUUCAAAACCAGCCUGGGCUACAUAGUAAGUUCAAGGCCAGUCUGAACUAUACAGUGAGAU